UGACGUCGCGAGAUUUGGAGUUCGCGGGAGAACUUCUCUCUGCGGGCGGACCGAGAGAGCGCCCGCGCGCGGGAUUUUCAAGCGGCCGACCCCGGGAAUUGGAGCUGGCAUGAGCCUCUGGGUGGACAAGUACCGUCCCUGCUCUUUGGGACGGCUGGACUAUCACAAGGAGCAGGCCGCCCAGCUGCGCAACCUGGUGCAAUGUGGUGAUUUUCCUCAUCUCUUAGUGUAUGGACCAUCAGGUGCUGGAAAAAAGACAAGGAUUAUGUGUAUUCUACGUGAACUUUAUGGUGUUGGAGUGGAAAAAUUGAGAAUUGAACAUCAGACCAUCACAACUCCAUCUAAAAAGAAAAUUGAAAUUAGCACUAUUGCGAGCAAUUAUCACCUUGAAGUUAAUCCCAGUGAUGCUGGAAAUAGUGACCGGGUAGUAAUUCAAGAGAUGUUGAAAACAGUGGCACAAUCACAGCAACUUGAAACAAACUCUCAAAGAGAUUUUAAAGUGGUAUUACUGACAGAGGUUGACAAACUCACCAAAGACGCUCAACAUGCUUUGCGUAGAACCAUGGAAAAGUAUAUGUCCACUUGCAGAUUGAUCUUGUGUUGCAAUUCUACAUCUAAAGUGAUACCACCUAUUCGUAGUAGGUGCCUGGCAGUUCGUGUGCCUGCUCCCAGCAUUGAAGAUAUUUGUCACGUUUUAUCUACUGUGUGUAAGAAGGAAGGUCUGAAUCUUCCUUCACAACUGGCUCAUAGACUUGCAGAGAAGUCCUGCAGGAAUCUUCGAAAAGCCCUACUUAUGUGUGAAGCCUGCAGAGUGCAACAAUAUCCUUUUACUGCAGAUCAAGAAAUCCCUGAAACAGAUUGGGAGGUGUAUCUGAGGGAGACUGCUAAUGCUAUUGUCAGUCAGCAGACUCCACAAAGGCUCCUUGAAGUCCGUGGAAGACUUUAUGAGCUUCUAACUCAUUGUAUUCCUCCUGAAAUUAUAAUGAAGGGCCUUCUCUCAGAACUUUUACAUAAUUGUGAUGGACAGCUGAAAGGGGAAGUGGCCCAGAUGGCAGCUUACUAUGAACAUCGUCUACAGCUGGGUAGCAAAGCCAUUUAUCACUUGGAAGCAUUUGUAGCCAAAUUUAUGGCACUUUAUAAGAAGUUCAUGGAGGAUGGAUUGGAAGGCAUGAUGUUUUGACAUCUUGACAGCUAUCCUUAAUUCUUCCUAAUAUAUCUCAGUAUCAUCAUUUACAUCCAUUUUAUAUUGGAAGAGCUGCAGAUCUCUGCUGUGCAUAUUCAACCACCUUAGCUUCUGAAUUCUCUUUUCUCCAGCUCAUUGUUAUCACAGUUGUCUGCCUGGAUUUGCCCUUCUUACCCUGCAGGAAAGUGCCUCUAGGCAAAAAUCAGGUGACUUUAGUUUACCUCAUUGGUUUUUUUUUCUCUUAUGCCUUACAGUCUUGCAUUCUCUGUUCAACAUCUAUUACAGAGUUGCUUUAUGUAUUUUGUCUAGUUUUCUAGUUGUUUACAGUGGGAAAGCAAGUCCAGUAUCAGUUACUCUUACAUAAUUGGUAGUGAAAGUCUUAAAGAUUUUAACUGAAAGCCCUAAUUUCUGUAAAACUCUAUGAUUUAAUGUAUUUUUUCCCAGUGGUAUUGAGGUAUAAUUGACAUCUAACAUUCUGUAAGUUUAUGUUAUACAGUGUGUUGAUAUGAUAUACGUAAUUGCCAAAUGAGUAUCCUCAUAGUUUUAGCUAACACCUCUCUCAUCAUAUCACAUCAAAUAAUUACUAUUUCAUUUUUAUGGUGAGACCGUUAGAUUUCAGUAACUUUCAAGUAUAUAAUACAGUGUUAUUAAUUAUAAUCACCAUGCUGUACCUUAGAGCCCCAGAACUUACUCCUCUUAAAACUUGAAGUUUAUAUUCUUUGA